UCAUCUCCGGGGGUAGAGCACUGUUUCGGCUAGGGGGCCAUCCCGGCUUACCAACCCGAUGCAAACUGCGAAUACCGGAGAAUGUUAUCACGGGAGACACACGGCGGGUGCUAACGUCCGUCGUGAAGAGGGAAACAACCCAGACCGCCAGCUAAGGUCCCAAAGUCAUGGUUAAGUGGGAAACGAUGUGGGAAGGCCCAGACAGCCAGGAUGUUGGCUUAGAAGCAGCCAUCAUUUAAAGAAAGCGUAAUAGCUCACUGGUCGAGUCGGCCUGCGCGGAAGAUGUAACGGGGCUAAACCAUGCACCGAAGCUGCGGCAGCGACACUCAGGUGUUGUUGGGUAGGGGAGCGUUCUGUAAGCCUGUGAAGGUGUGUCGUGAGGCAUGCUGGAGGUAUCAGAAGUGCGAAUGCUGACAUAAGUAACGAUAAAGCGGGUGAAAAGCCCGCUCGCCGGAAGACCAAGGGUUCCUGUCCAACGUUAAUCGGGGCAGGGUGAGUCGACCCCUAAGGCGAGGCCGAAAGGCGUAGUCGAUGGGAAACGGGUUAAUAUUCCCGUACUUGGUGUUACUGCGAAGGGGGGACGGAGAAGGCUAUGUUGGCCGGGCGACGGUUGUCCCGGUUUAAGCGUGUAGGUGUGUGUUCCAGGUAAAUCCGGUUCACUUUAACACUGAGGCGUGACGACGAGGCACUACGGUGCUGAAGCAACAAAUGCCCUGCUUCCAGGAAAAGCCUCUAAGCAUCAGGUAACAUCAAAUCGUACCCCAAACCGACACAGGUGGUCAGGUAGAGAAUACCAAGGCGCUUGAGAGAACUCGGGUGAAGGAACUAGGCAAAAUGGUGCCGUAACUUCGGGAGAAGGCACGCUGACACGUAGGUGAAGUGAUUUACUCAUGGAGCUGAAGUCAGUCGAAGAUACCAGCUGGCUGCAACUGUUUAUUAAAAACACAGCACUGUGCAAACACGAAAGUGGACGUAUACGGUGUGACGCCUGCCCGGUGCCGGAAGGUUAAUUGAUGGGGUCAGCGCAAGCGAAGCUCCUGAUCGAAGCCCCGGUAAACGGCGGCCGUAACUAUAACGGUCCUAAGGUAGCGAAAUUCCUUGUCGGGUAAGUUCCGACCUGCACGAAUGGCGUAAUGAUGGCCAGGCUGUCUCCACCCGAGACUCAGUGAAAUUGAACUCGCUGUGAAGAUGCAGUGUACCCGCGGCAAGACGGAAAGACCCCGUGAACCUUUACUAUAGCUUGACACUGAACAUUGAGCCUUGAUGUGUAGGAUAGGUGGGAGGCUUUGAAGCGUGGACGCCAGUCUGCGUGGAGCCGACCUUGAAAUACCACCCUUUAAUGUUUGAUGUUCUAACGUGGACCCGUAAUCCGGGUUGCGGACAGUGUCUGGUGGGUAGUUUGACUGGGGCGGUCUCCUCCUAAAGAGUAACGGAGGAGCACGAAGGUUGGCUAAUCCUGGUCGGACAUCAGGAGGUUAGUGCAAUGGCAUAAGCCAGCUUGACUGCGAGCGUGACGGCGCGAGCAGGUGCGAAAGCAGGUCAUAGUGAUCCGGUGGUUCUGAAUGGAAGGGCCAUCGCUCAACGGAUAAAAGGUACUCCGGGGAUAACAGGCUGAUACCGCCCAAGAGUUCAUAUCGACGGCGGUGUUUGGCACCUCGAUGUCGGCUCAUCACAUCCUGGGGCUGAAGUAGGUCCCAAGGGUAUGGCUGUUCGCCAUUUAAAGUGGUACGCGAGCUGGGUUUAGAACGUCGUGAGACAGUUCGGUCCCUAUCUGCCGUGGGCGCUGGAGAACUGAGGGGGGCUGCUCCUAGUACGAGAGGACCGGAGUGGACGCAUCACUGGUGUUCGGGUUGUCAUGCCAAUGGCACUGCCCGGUAGCUAAAUGCGGAAGAGAUAAGUGCUGAAAGCAUCUAAGCACGAAACUUGCCCCGA
rnacentral:rRNA from 1 species